rnacentral:rRNA from 1 species
GACGAACGCUGGCGGCGUGCUUAACACAUGCAAGUCGAACGGAAAGGCCCCUUCGGGGGUACUCGCGCGGCGAACAGAUGAGUAACACGUGAGUAACUUGCCCUUGCUUUAGGGUUAAAUUACGGCAACUGGGUCUAAUAACGGAUAGGAAUCCUCGCCGCCUGGAGGGGGUUGGAAAGAUUCUGUGGUUUUGGAUGGAUUCGCGGCCUACCAGUUUGCUGGUGGGGUAGUGGGUUACCAAGGCAUUCACGGGUGGGCGGCCUGAGAGGGAGAGCGGCCACAUUGGGACUUGGGUUCGGCCCAGGCUCCUACGGGGGGCAGCAAGUGGGGAUAAUUCACAAUGGGCGGGAGCCUGGAUGAACAACGCCGGGUGCGGGGUUACGGCCUUCGGGGUGGAAACCGCUUUCAGCAGGGGCGGAGGCUGUAGUGACGGUACCUGCAAAAGAAGCACCGGCUAACUACGUG